CAUGGUGAAGAGAAUCAACUCGCAGGCGGCGGCUUUGGAGGAAGGAGCGCUGUACAAGAGACUAGGCCGUUGUGUGGAGCGUGAAUGGUGGGGGAGUUGUGGAAGAAGACAACUAUGUCCUUAAUGGCCCCCUCGCCCUCGCCAUCGUUAAUGUCGUUGCUGAAGCUUUAAAGAGUCAAAACAGAACAGAGGCCUGACAUAGGAACUCAGAAAACCCAGGCCCAGAAUAUUCCUGUUAUCAACUUUCAAGACCACUUUUAUUGUCAAUAGAAAACUGACAUCAGACAUGGCAUUUGGACCUCCCAAAAACCUGAAUGGUCCCAAGAUGCAAACAAAGAUGAGCACCUGGACACCACUGAAUCAUCAGCUCAUGAAUGAUAAGGUAUUUGAAGAAAGAAGAAACUUGUUGGGGAAAUGGUUUGACAAGUGGACAGACAGUCAAAGGCGAAGAGUCCUGGCAGACUUCUUGGAGCACUGCUCCCUUUCACAGCUGAAAUUCUGUUUCAAACUGCUGCAGGAUCGAGUGCCAAUUGAAGCACUGGAUUUCACCACCCAGCUUCCCCGAGUGUUAACUUUGUACAUCUUUUCUUUCCUGGAUCCUCGAAGUCUCUCCCAAUGUGCCCAGGUAAAUUGGCACUGGAACUACUUAACCCAGCUUGAUCAACUCUGGAUGCCAAAAUGUCUGCGUUUUGAAUGGUACAUCAAUUUCUCUCCAACUCCAUUUGAGCAAGGAAUCUGGAAGAAACACUAUAUUAAGAAGAUAGAAGAAUUUCGAGUGUCCAGACCUAAGACCCCACCCAAAAAUGAUUUUGUGGUGGUUGAUGUUCAGCCAAUAACAAAAGAUGUCCCAGAAAUAAAGCAGUCUUUGUUGUCAGUCCUUGAAUCAGCAUCUCUGUUAAGAAGAAAGAUAAACAAAGGAAAGAGAGACCUCCCACCUUGGCGUUCAUCAGAUAAGCAUCCAACAGAUAUCAUUCGUUACAACUAUUUGGAUAACUUUGAUCCCAUUGAGCAGGCAAGGCAGGCUAGAAGAAAAGGAGGAGGUCUCACCCCGGACCUCAGUCAGUCAGCCUUUCAGAAAAAGAGGAAACCAGGCAGUGGAACGUACAAGCUCAGAAAAGCAAAGUCUCUGCAACCUAACAGUGAAUUAUCGAGAACACCAGAUUGUGGGACUCAGGUAUAUGAAGCCCUUUGGAGCAUUUGCUGUCCAUUGCUCAUUCUGUGCUUCCUCUGUUUCUGGGGGCAGAGAGGCAGGAGCAGGUUCCCAUUCUGCCAGCCAUCCCAUCCUGUCAUACAACAUCACUAUCUUUGACAUUUUAAGCACUAGCAUGCCCAUCUGUUGCUCUUUCAAUUGCUACCUGCCAAUCAUAUUGCAAAUUAAUCCCUGUCAUUCACAAAUUGUUUCUAACUCUAGCUUUUUCAACCAAAUGCUACGGAAAUGGAAAAUGCUGCUAUUAGCCUUUCCAGACUUAAACACUGUUGCCAGGCAAGCUUUAUCUGCCACAAUCUCUUUAUAAUAAGUGCUAGAGAAGAUAUUAGAUAAAUAAAUUAAGGCUGCAAUCCUAAAGUAUGUCUCCUUCUGAUUGGAAAUCGUAAGUCUUGUUGAUUAAUGUGCUUUUUUGUUUUGCAUUACUAAGCACUAGCUAUCAUUGGGGUUAAUGAAUAGUAUCCGCAAAGUAUCACUUCAAAUUUCAGGUCUGAAAUCACAGGCCAUGACAGAAUGCCCUGCCAUAUAAAGAUGAAUGACUUCCUGUAGAUGUCUCAAAGUAGGAUUCUCAUAAAUAAUCAGUGACUCACGUUUUCAGCGUGAUGGGUGACAUACAGGCUGCAUAGAAAAAUGCAGCAUUUUAUAACCUACAAAUAUCCAAAGUUUGGACUUAAUGGCAUUUUCAGUCUAAUCCCCCCGCUUGUUGGAGCCAGUAGCACUGCAGGAGCCCAAACCAACCAUACGUGAAACAAUUCUGUCAUAGCAUGAAUGGGACAGAUGAGUGAACAUUUGGAUCACAUGCUUUUCUGGCCAAGAGGGACAGAUGAACAGAACAUGGACAUUUAUUUCAUGAUCUUUUUAUGAGAUCUGAAUUAAGGCCCUGGUGCUGUGAGCCAUAGCUUGAGCUUUGUUUCUUAAUACAGGGAGGAAACAAGCGAAGGAUCCCAAUUCAGACAGCACAAUAAAUUAAGACAGAGCUUCGGUGAUCUGUUUAUCUGCUCCUGGUAGGAAGAGCAAAGUGUAAGGGUUUGAAAAGAAUCCACAGGCACACCAGGACAUUCAGGAUAAGUUAGAGACUUCUAAAACUUUAAUUUGCUUUAACAUGCAAAAGUUAAUGUGGUAGAGUCAAAGGUGUGGCUUUAAUAGUUUAAGGAUUUUUUUGGUUCCAAAUUGUUUCUUUUUUUUGUUCAAAGAAAGGAGAUAGCUGCAUUGCUGAAGAUGAUAUUAUUUGUAACACUUGUUCCUUAUCAUUGCUAUUAUAGAAGUAAGAAAUAAAUAAUAAAUGAACAAUUAAGGGAAACCUGAACCCAAAACCAAAAUACAGUAACAGCCAGAGACCUGUGGACAUAAAUAAUUAUGGCUGCCUAUUCUGAAAAUGCAAAAACUAUUAAUUUCCAAUGAAAUUGGAAAUUGGAAAUUAAAUGAGAUGUCCCUCUCGGCAGAACUUGACUCAGAGGCAGAAGUGACAGUUCGCCCAAACUGGGCUCAGCGUCAGCCAAACAGCUACCCUC